UACGUAGGGUGCAAGCGUUGUCCGGAAUUAUUGGGCGUAAAGAGCUCGUAGGCGGUUUGUCGCGUCUGCUGUGAAAACCCGAGGCUCAACCUCGGGCCUGCAGUCGAUACUGGUGAACUAGAGUUCGGUAGAGGGUGACGGAAUUCCCGGUGUAGCGGUGAAAUGCGUAGAUAUCGGGAGGAACAUCGAUGGCGAAGGCAAUCACCUGGGCCUGAACUGACACUGAGACACGAAAGCGUGGGUAGCAAACAGG
rnacentral:rRNA from 1 species